rnacentral:rRNA from 1 species
UACGUAGGGGGCAAGCGUUGUCCGGAUUUAUUGGGCGUAAAGAGCGUGUAGGCGGCCAGGUAGGUCCGCUGUGAAAACUCGAGGCUCAACCUCGAGAUGUCGGCGGAAACCAUCUGGCUAGAGUCCGGAAGAGGAAAGUGGAAUUCCUGGUGUAGCGGUGAAAUGCGCAGAUAUCAGGAAGAACACCAAUGGCGAAAGCAGCUUUCUGGGACGGUACUGACGCUGAGACGCGAAAGCGUGGGGAGCGAACAGG